rnacentral:tRNA from 1 species
GACCGCUUAGCUCAGUUGGCAGAGCGUUGCGCUUACAUCGCAAAGGUCGGGGGUCCGAAACCCUCAGCGGUCACCA